UACGGAGGGGGCUAGCGUUGUUCGGAAUUACUGGGCGUAAAGCGCACGUAGGCGGCUUUGUAAGUUAGAGGUGAAAGCCCGGAGCUCAACUCCGGAAUUGCCUUUAAGACCGCAUCGCUUGAAUCAUGGAGAGGUGAGUGGAAUUCCGAGUGUAGAGGUGAAAUUCGUAGAUAUUCGGAAGAACACCAGUGGCGAAGGCGACUCACUGGACAUGUAUUGACGCUGAGGUGCGAAAGCGUGGGGAGCAAACAGG
rnacentral:rRNA from 1 species